UCUAUCUACCAAGGUGUCAUCUAGCUGAUUAUUUUACCAGCUCUCAUCCUUGGAGAUGGACUCUAUAACUUCAUCGAAGUACUGUCUUUCACCAUCAGAAGCUUCCAUGGUAGAUUGAAAUGGAAGGACCCUCAGAACAGGCCCCUGUUUACAUGUUACCACAUUCACGCACAUGUUCGAUGAUAGCAAAAGGGGUGGGUAGUUCAAUUG